UACGUAGGGCGCAAGCGUUGUCCGGAAUUAUUGGGCGUAAAGAGCUCGUAGGCGGCUUGUCACGUCGGGUGUGAAAGCCCGGGGCUUAACCCCGGGUCUGCAUUCGAUACGGGCUGGCUAGAGGUAGGUAGGGGAGAACGGAAUUCCUGGUGUAGCGGUGAAAUGCGCAGAUAUCAGGAGGAACACCGGUGGCGAAGGCGGUUCUCUGGGCCUUACCUGACGCUGAGGAGCGAAAGCGUGGGGAGCGAACAGG
rnacentral:rRNA from 1 species